AGGAAGUAUUACUACACCAAUCACAUGUACUCGUAAGUUCGCCACAAACUAUAAACCCUGUUGCCAUGGAGACGCGCAAUCAGAUGGAGGCUUUGCCAAGACGACCGGGAGGUGCAGCAUUCUGAGCCGGCCUGUGGACCGGUCUGGUAUGCGGCGAGUGAGCCGGACCAAAGGCCCGUCGACAAUGGCGAGUCUGUGCGGCGUGCCGGCGGGGACGAGGACGGCGUCCUGCCAGAGACGGAGACACCUGGGCUACAUCUAUCGAUUGCUCAAAAUGAUCAUUUUAACACGUUUUUGAUUUAUACAUGAAACGACAAUAUCAAACAUAGAAGAAGAAGUAGUUAUUUUUCUAGCUCUGCGCGGUCAGAGGAGUCGCCCCCUGGUGGCCGGUAGACAGAACGCAGCUGUGUGACAGAGAAAGCUCCAUCCCGUCUACCGCCAUCAAAACACAAAGGCUGCUUUAAAGUAGUAAAACCCGCUUCUUGCUCAAUCUGAUGCCCGGGGCAAAGCGUGACAUUGGUUAGUGGGGCAACUCCACCCCUUUUCUUUUUUUUCUCCCCUCUUCACUCUUGUUCUCUCGCUCACCAAUUUGUAAAUGUUUUCUUUUGUUUACGUGUGUGAAUGUAUACAAUCGAGAGGCUAUUGGUGUACCGUUUAUCUACAGUACUCGUGUACUUAUGAGUAGAUGUCCUGAACCUCUUUUUUUUUACUUUGUUUGUUUUUAAAUGUCAUAAAGAUAUCACAACUUCUUAACUCAAGAAAUGCAGAAUCCUUUGUUCGCAUCUUCCGCCGCAAAUUAAAGACACACCUCUUCACCGCUUCAGAAAUUGUACUUAUAAUAAGUACAUGCCACUUAUCUAUAGCAAAUUGUGAAUUGGCUUAUUAAAAGCGUCAGCUAAAUGACCUGUAAUAUAAUGUAAUGUCAUUUAAAUGUGUUGUUUGUUAUCACUAAGCAUCAUUCAACACCUCUCAGGCCCAACAAGACCACACAUGCACAAACACACACAGGUACAGAAACCCACGCACACAAACACACACAGGUACAGAAACCCACGCACACAAACACACACAGGUACAGAAACCCACGCACACAAACACACACACACACUCCCCCAAACCUCAAAACAAACACUCUCUACCAACUUUGCUGCUCCUCUUUUUCUCGCUUUCAGCUCUUCAGUUGAAACCAUUUGUUCUCCUCACUUUGCUUUUUCGUCCUGCUGGUUUUUUCUGUCCUUCUUUGUAUGAUUUCUUAAACUUGUCUGCUCUUGUUUUAUACGCACCUUUCAACACGAUGAAAUAUUCUGCCGAUGUUAAUUUCACGCAUGAAUUUCAUGCAAUAAAAACUGUCUGGCUGAGAAAUGGUCGGCUUCAGUUUGUGAACGUGUUGUUAUCUUUACGUUAUGAUGGCAGGUUAGAGGGAUAUUCAAAAGUUUUAAUGUCCUGAACCUCUUUUUUUACACACAAAGACGUCACAACUUCUUAACUCAAGAAAUACAGGAUCCUUUAUUGUCAUAAUCCAACAGAGGGAUGCACGGAUAAAUCCAGCUGUAGCUCUCGCAAAAAGACGUUCAUUUGAUAAAUGUUGUUAAUAAACCUUUUUUCCACAA